AUGACUUGUGAUAAAACUAUAUUAAUUUCACCAUAAUUACCAUAAAAAAAUCAAAAAUGGAUUAUGGUAAAAC
rnacentral:sRNA from 1 species